AAGACUAUACUUUCAGAGAUCAUUCUAUAGUAUAUGACUAGAGAUCAUGUAGUUCAAAUGACUCUGAUCAUGUAGAGCACCCGAUGCCAUGAUGAGGAGGCAGAGCAUCCUUUCCUGAGCAUGAAGCUAGCUCUAGGUGUUGUUUCUGUGACUUUUUGGCCAUUGAUGAUCAUUCUUCCUUUUCUGUGGAAAGAAUAGAAGGAGAGGAUGCAGUCUGAGUGGA